rnacentral:rRNA from 1 species
UGGGGAAUUUUGGGCAAUGGGCGAAAGCCUGACCCAGCAACGCCGCGUGAAGGAUGAAGUAUUUCGGUAUGUAAACUUCGUAAGAAUAGGAAGAAUAAAUGACGGUACUAUUUGUAAGGUCCGGCUAACUACGUGCCAGCAGCCGCGGUAAUACGUAGGGACCAAGCGUUGUUCGGAUUUACUGGGCGUAAAGGGCGCGUAGGCGGUGUGUCAAGUCAGUUGUGAAAUCUCCGAGCUUAACUCGGAACGGUCAACUGAUACUGUCACACUAGAGUACAGAAGGGGCAAUCGGAAUUCUUGGUGUAGCGGUGAAAUGCGUAGAUAUCAAGAGGAACACCUGAGGCGAAGGCGGGUUGCUGGGCUGAUACUGACGCUGAGGCGCGAAAGCUAGGGUAGCAAACGGGAUUAGAUACCCACGUAGUCCCUGAGCGGGCUGGCAAGGCGCAU